rnacentral:misc_RNA from 1 species
GGAAAGUGCUGAGGUGCUGACUGACCACUCGACUAGGGUUAAUGAUUGCAGAAGUAUUGUACACCGCUGGCUGGCAAGUAAACUUGACCCUAAUGGUGCAAAAGAUGUUCUUAGGGGACUAUCUAAUUGCAAAAAUAAUAAAGUGUGCCCUCUGGUGUUCCCAAAUACGAGUCAUGUUACAGAAGCUUGUGGAGAUGGAAUGAAUAACCAAACAGCAUGCUGUGAUACCAUUGAGAGCUAUGUCUCCCACUUACAAAGGCAGAGUUUUGUAACCAACUUGCAAGCUUUGGGUUGCGCUGCAUCAUUUGGACUCAAGUUACAGAAAGCCAAUGUGAGCAAAAAUAUAUACAAACUUUGUCACAUUAGCCUCAAGGACUUCUCUGUGCAAGUUGCACCCGAAGUUUCUGGGUGUCUUUUGCCUAGUCUACCAUCAGAUGCUGUACUUGACCAAAGUUCGGGGAUCAGCUUCGUCUGUGAUUUGAACGAUAACAUUCCAGCCCCUUGGCCAUCUCUCUCUCACUUACCAGUUUCCUCAUGCAAUAAAUCUGUGAAAAUUCCUGCACUUCCUGCGGCAGCAUCUGGCCAGCUCAGUCUGAAUAGCUUGAGCAUCGGGUCUCAUCUGCGUCUCUUAGCCUUGACGGCUCUUGGAAGCCUCUUUUAUACUUAAUGCUGCCACUCCUGCUCAAUUAACCUUGAUGGCGA